AUUCAGCUGACGAAUCCCGAAUGAGACGAAAUGCGCGUCUUGGAU
rnacentral:hammerhead_ribozyme from 1 species